GCAGACGGACCAGAACCUCGUCGUGAUGCAGAUUUGCGAAGAAGUCGCCGCGAAGCACGACCUCGCGUGCCUCCUCCAGGAGAAGCCGUUCGCGGGCGUGAACGGCUCCGGCAAGCACAACAACUGGUCCAUCUCCACGCUGUGCGGCGCGCAGCUCCUCAACCCGGGGGACCUCACCGCGAAGUCUGGCAACCCGGAGCUCUUUCCCGUCGUCAUGGCGGCGCUCGUCGCGGGCGUCGACUCGUACGGCGACCUCAUGCGUCUGUCGAUCGCGUCCCCCGGUAACGACUUCCGCCUCGGCGCGAUGGAGGCGCCGCCGUCGGUCAUCUCCACGUACCUCGGCACGCAGAUGACGGAGUACCUCACGGAGUUCAUGAACGGCAACGUGUUCGAGUACAAGCCGUCUGUGACCCCCAUUCCGCUCGGCGUGGACUCGCUUCCGGUGUUCAACGCCCCCGCGGAGGACCGCAACCGCACGUCUCCGUUCCCGUACGGCGGGCACAGGUUCGA
rnacentral:lncRNA from 1 species